ACAAGGCACAUCCUGCACAGCCCUAGAUCCC
rnacentral:piRNA from 1 species